CCUGCUGUGCCAUCUGGUUUUGGACCAUUUAGUUUGCAUAAGCAAAGUGUUAGUGUUACAUCUCAGUUAAUUGCUGUGGUGUAAUGACAGGGAUUUUUUUUGUUUUUAUGUUAGGUACUUGGAGGAAUUGUGCAAUAACGACAGAUUCACCCAUUUUUCUUUUGUUGAAAGUAAAUAAAUAAAUAAUAAACAAAUACAAAUCU